GACGAACGCUGGCGGCGUGCCUAACACAUGCAAGUCGAGCGGGGACACAUUGUGAAGCGGAAGUUUUCGGACGGAAGCGGAACGGUAUGUUCUAGCGGCGGACGGGUGAGUAACGCGUGAGCAACCUGUCCCUUACAGGGGGAUAACACAGCGAAAGUUGUACUAAUACCGCAUAAGACCACAGAGCCACAUGGCUUAGGGGUCAAAGGAGCAAUCCGGUAAGGGGUGGGCUCGCGUCCGAUUAGAUAGUUGGUGAGGUAACGGCCCACCAAGUCGACGAUCGGUAGCCGACCUGAGAGGGUGAUCGGCCACAUUGGGACUGAGACACGGCCCAAACUCCUACGGGAGGCAGCAGUGGGGAAUAUUGGGCAAUGGGGGAAACCCUGACCCAGCAACGCCGCGUGAGGGAAGAAGGUUUUCGGAUCGUAAACCUCUGUCCUAGGUGAAGAGAAAGAGACGGUAGCCUAGGAGGAAGCCCCGGCUAACUACGUGCCAGCAGCCGCGGUAAUACGUAGGGGGCGAGCGUUGUCCGGAAUGAUUGGGCGUAAAGGGCGCGUAGGCGGCCCGGUAAGUCUGAAGUGAAAGUCCUGCGUUCAACGUGGGAAUUGCUUUGGAUACUGUCGGGCUUGAGUGCAGGAGAGGUAAGUGGAAUUCCCAGUGUAGCGGUGAAAUGCGUAGAGAUUGGGAGGAACACCAGUGGCGAAGGCGACUUACUGGACUGUAACUGACGCUGAGGCGCGAAAGUGUGGGGAGCAAACAGGAUUAGAUACCCUGGUAGUCCACGCUGUAAACGAUGAAUGCUAAAUUUCGGGGCGACUCGGAGUUGAAGCCAACGCGAUAAGCAUUCCGCCUGUGGAGUAUGCACGCAAGUGUGAAACAUAAAGGAAUUGACGGGGGCCCGCACAAGCGGUGGAGUAUGUGGUUUAAUUCGACGCAACGCGAAGAACCUUACCAGGCCUUGACAUCCCUUGCGAAGCUCUAGAGAUAGAGUAGAGGUUAUCAAGGUGACAGGUGGUGCAUGGUUGUCGUCAGCUCGUGUCGUGAGAUGUUGGGUUAAGUCCCGCAACGAGCACAACCCUUGUUUUCAGUUACUAACAUUAAGUUGAGGACUCUGGAGAGACUGCCGGUGAUAAACCGGAGGAAGGUGGGGAUGACGUCAAAUCAUCAUGCCCCUUAUGGCCUGGGCUACACACGUACUACAAUGGCCGUUACAACGUGCUGCGACCUGGCGACAGGAAGCGAAUCACUUAAAGACGGUCUCAGUUCGGAUUGGAGUCUGCAACCCGACUCCAUGAAGUUGGAAUCGCUAGUAAUCGCGGAUCAGCAUGCCGCGGUGAAUACGUUCUCGGGCCU
rnacentral:rRNA from 1 species